UGAUGGUUCCCCCUUUGCCCACAGGAGGUGGAUGCUGCCCAGCUCCUGCGGCUCUAUCUCAGCUAUGACCUGCUGGAGGAGGCGGUGGACUUGGUGCUGGAGUACGUGGAUGCUGUGCUGGGGAAAGGGCACCGGUACUUUGGAAUCGAGUUCCCACUCUCAGCCACAGCCCCCAUGGUGUGGCUGCCCUAUACCGCCAUCGACCAACUGCUGCAGGCGCUGCGGGAGAGCACCGCCAGCCAGCACAGCGUGGAGCUCUACCAGAAGCUCUCUGAGAAGAUAGAGGACUACCAGCAGAAGGUGAGCGUGGCCACCCGGGACCGCCUGUACCGCCGCAGCUAGAGCCAGCCCCAC